rnacentral:rRNA from 1 species
UACGGAGGGUGCAAACGUUGCUCGGAAUCAUUGGGCGUAAAGCGCACGUAGGCGGCGAAGCAAGUCGGGUGUGAAAGCCCUGGGCUCAACCCAGGAAGUGCAUUCGAAACUAUUUCGCUUGAAUCUCGGAGGGGGUCAGAGAAUUCCCGGUGUAGAGGUGAAAUGCGCAGAUAUCAGGAGGAACACCGGUGGCGAAGGCGGAUCUCUGGGCCAUUACUGACGCUGAGGAGCGAAAGCGUGGGGAGCGAACAGGAUUG